UCGUUGGGCAAAAAACUUGGGCUUUGACGUUGCAUUAACAAGGUCUACAUCGGGAUCAUGUGAAUGCUCUGUCGCAGAGUGGACAAGCUCACUGGACUCAAGCUCAUCCAUGUCGUGGCCUAGCGGUUAAAGGGAUGGUACACGUUUGUUCAUCGCUCAUCCAAACUGUCAGCAAGUCAUCAUAAGCCAGUUCUACAAAUGACUUCUCUUCGUCAGAGACAAGUCUGCCGUCUACCGAACAUUUCUCUUUGCUCUACUCUUUCUUCUCUACCCCUUCCUCGCUGUACUCCAUGUUUACUCCGACAGACAGAAAAUAAAAACCUUCGUCAGAAUUCCCAUUGUGAUGUUCAUCAUGUAUCUAGCGGCUGAUCUGACCUUCGUGACCUUACUUACCUGGGAAGCGGUUAACGAUAGCAGAACGGCUCACAACCUCAGCCUCAUUCGGCCCUACAACGUGGCUGCACUGCUCUGGAUUCUAGAUAUGAAACCUUUCUGAAGCUGUGCCAAGUCCACGACCAACUGGUGAGCAGGUCCAACAACUGCAUCGUCAUCAACAAGCAAUCGGACAUCGUACUGGGCAUCUGAGAUAGAGCUGACAUCAUCAGCUCAGAUCUCUUUCACAACUUGGCGAACACACUGGACUUCCAGUCCUCCCUGGCGCAGACAGUUGCCAAGCUCCCCCCUCCCCAGUCGGCUCCACCUUCACCCCCUCCCGACGCUCCAGCGCCACC